GAUGAACGCUGGCGGCGUGCUUAACACAUGCAAGUCGAACGGAAAGGCCCAAGCUUGCUUGGGUACUUGAGUGGCGAACGGGUGAGUAACACGUGGGUGAUCUGCCCUGCACUUCGGGAUAAGCCUGGGAAACUGGGUCUAAUACCGGAUAGGACGAUGGUUUGGAUGCCAUUGUGGAAAGUUUUUUCGGUGUGGGAUGAGCUCGCGGCCUAUCAGCUUGUUGGUGGGGUAAUGGCCUACCAAGGCGUCGACGGGUAGCCGGCCUGAGAGGGUGUACGGCCACAUUGGGACUGAGAUACGGCCCAGACUCCUACGGGAGGCAGCAGUGGGGAAUAUUGCACAAUGGGCGCAAGCCUGAUGCAGCGACGCCGCGUGGGGGAUGACGGCCUUCGGGUUGUAAACUCCUUUCGCUAGGGACGAAGCGUUUUUGUGACGGUACCUGGAGAAGAAGCACCGGCUAACUACGUG
rnacentral:rRNA from 1 species